UUCAGACCAGCCUGGACAACAUAGCAAAACCCUGUCUCUACUAAAAAUACAAAAACUGAGGUGGGAGGAUCAGCAGAGCCUGGGGAGGCCGAGGCUGCAGUGAGCUGUGAUCGUGCCACUGCACUCCAGCCUGGGUGACAGAGUGACACCCUGUCUCAAAAAAAAGAAAUGGAUGGAAGGUAAAGUUUCUGGGAGUCUGAAACUUCUCUCCAUCCCCCUCUCCCAGAGGUGAUGGUGGGUAUGGGCUACACACGGGAAGAAAUCAAAGAGGCCUUGACCAGCCAGAAGUACAACGAAGUGACCGCCACCUACCUCCUGCUGGGCAGGAAGACUGAGGAGGGUGGGGACCGGGGCGCCCCAGGGCUGGCCCUGGCACGGGUGCGGGCGCCCAGCGACACCACCAAUGGAACAAGUUCCAGCAAAGGCACCAGCCAUAGCAAAGGGCAGCGGAGUUCCUCUUCCACCUACCACCGCCAGCGCAGGCAUAGCGAUUUCUGUGGCCCAUCCCCUGCACCCCUGCACCCCAAACGGAGCCCGACGAGCACGGGGGAGGCGGAGCUGAAGGAGGAGCGGCUGCCAGGCCGGAAGGCGAGCUGCAGCGCCGCGGGGAGCGGGAGUCGAGGGCUGCCCCCCUCCAGCCCCAUGGUCAGCAGCGCCCACAACCCCAACAAGGCAGAGAUCCCAGAGCGGCGGAAGGACAGCAUGAGCACCCCC
rnacentral:sRNA from 1 species